rnacentral:rRNA from 1 species
CAGUAGCCGCGGUAAUACGUAGGUGGCAAGCGUUGUCCGGAAUUAUUGGGCGUAAAGGGCUCGCAGGCGGUUUCUUAAGUCUGAUGUGAAAGCCCCCGGCUCAACCGGGGAGGGUCAUUGGAAACUGGGAAACUUGAGUGCAGAAGAGGAGAGUGGAAUUCCACGUGUAGCGGUGAAAUGCGUAGAGAUGUGGAGGAACGCCAGUGGCGAAGGCGACUCUCUGGUCUGUAACUGACGCUGAGGAGCGAAAGCGUGGGGAGCGAACAGGAUUAGAUACCCCCGUAGUCCCUGUCUCUUAUAC